AUCAAAUGGAAUCAAGCAUAAUGUAAUUAAUUAAUUCCUUGUCUUUGCUUAUUUGAUUAUUCCAAAAAAAAAUGUUUAAUUCUACAAUUGCCAACAAUUGAGCUAUUUCAGGAAAUUGUGUUUACUUUAGAAUGAUUAAAGAAAAUAAAGCAUGGAUAGAACUCAAAAGUUUAUUCCCUAAUUAUGUCAUGUUUUAAGGAAAUUAGGCGGGUUUGAUUGUCCAAUCAAAUAAAUUAAAGAUUAUAUUGCAUAAACUCUUCAAGAAUGUUGUAUAUUUAUGUCAAAUUAUCUAAAAAGUUAUUUUUUAGAAAAUUUGACAUACAACACUGACACUUUUGAAAAACUCGAGCAAUAUCGAAAAAUGAGUUCCCUUAUAAACUUCACCCUUAUUGUUCUAGUGAGUAUUUAUGCUUGUGUGUUAAGCAUAAACAUGUUUUUAGUGUUUAUAUGACAAAAGUUCAUGACAAGCAUAUGUAAUUUACUAUUAAAUUUUAUGUAUUGCAUUGUGUAAUGAUUUUU